AUGUACCACACGUACACUGCGGUUCCUCCGCGCCAUCCGCGCCCCCCUGGCGACUGCUCGCUACGUUUUGCUAACC
rnacentral:sRNA from 2 species